GGUCAGACCACAUUCAGUGAGGUCAUUGGCGGUGCCAUUAACAACUUUACCUUUGAAAAUAACCCUGUUGUAACCUUGGUUCCUUGCCCUCCAGAGAGGGGACACCCCUUUGCUGGGGUGGAUGAGCAGGAGAGAGACAGAGACACCUGGCCCUCCCGGAACAGAGUGAAGCUGACAAGGUGCACAUUGGCCCCAUGUUUCUGGAAAACAAUUCUACAGCACGUAUUAAGACUUUUAACAGGGUUCACUGCAUUUACCAAUAAGUCUAUUCCUGAGAACUCCGUGAAUCAUAGUAAUGUCUCCUGCAGAUACAAGUGGAAAAACUCUAGACACCCCCGCCCCCUGCCCCAAACUUCUCUUUUAAAAGCACUAGAGAGUGAUCAUGAGCAGACAGACCCUGGAGGAGGGUUGAAACUUGGAAGAAGGGACAACGCUGGACUUGUAUUUAUGAAAAAUGCCACCUGAAGUGCUUCAAGCUGAAGUGAAAUUACACCAAAAAGAAACAGAGAUCUUUAGGAAGAAACGAAAAGCAACCAGAAAUGGUAAAUAUAUGGACUAAUAGUCAAAUACUCCGUGUUGAUCUCCUAAUUUCUUUAAAAUGCAUGUGAUUAUUUAAAAACUCUAACUUUGUAAUAAUAUGACAACGAUAAAGAGUGGGUGGGGAAUAGGUGGCAGUAAGUGGUUGAAAGGUGAUUACAGAUUUACAUGAGGUAGCACAACAUUCAUUCCAAAGGUUAAUAAGAAUGUGUAUUACAAUCUCUAGAGAAACCACUUUAAAAACAACUUAGAGCUAUGAAAAUAAUAAAGGAAAUUAAAAAAAAAUCAACCCAAAAUAAGCCACAGAAGGGGAAAUGGAGAAAUAAACAGAGUGACCAAACAGAAAACCACUAGCAAAGUGGUGGACCUAAAUCUGCUUUUAAUUCCAUUAAAAGUAAGUAGACUAAACACUCCAUUAAAAGGAAGAUAUCAUACAUUUCCUAGAAUUAAGGAAGUAUUAUCAAACUCAAAAGCAAAAAAAAUGUAUAUAUUGUUUUGGAAUCGAGUCUGUAUAUUUUUAUUGUUUUAAUUUUUAAAUUUUUUGUCCUCUUAGGGCCGCAUCUGCAGCAUAUGGAGAUUCCCAGGCUAGGGGUUGAAUUGGAGCUGUAGCUGCUGGCCUAUACUAUAACAAUGCGGGAUCCAAGCCACAUCUAUGACCUACAGCACAGCUCACAGCAAUGCCAGAUCCUUAACCCACUGAACAAGGCCAGGAAUCAAACCUGCGUCUCAUGGAUGCUGUCAGAUUCAUUUCCGCUGAGUCAUGAUGGGAACUCUGAGUCUGCAUGUUUUUAAAAGGCAAUAUUUAUAAAUAAAAUAAUGUUUUGUUAUCAGUGUUUUAUCAUUUGCAUAUUUUAAGGUAUUUUUGAAAUAUUUAAAAUAUUUUGAUGUUAAAAGUUAUAGUUUGACCCUAGAACUUAUGCUUUUAUCAAAUUUUGGAAGAAUUUUUAUUAAAUGAAUUUCUGAUCAAUGUUUCAAUAUUUGAGAUAAUUCAUUUAUAAAAAGACAAAGCUGUUAUAUUUCCAGCUAUGUGAUUAGUAAUACAGUCUAGGAAAAAAAGUUUUAAUAGAAUGCUAUCUAAUAAGUGGAGUGUUGGAGUUCCCAUUGUGGUGCAGUGGAAACAAAUCCUACUACCAUCCAUGAGGAUGUAGGUUUGAUCCCUGGCCUCGCUCAAUGCGUUGGGGAUCCAGCAUUGCCAUGAGCUGUGGCGUAGGUUGCAGACAUGGUGCAGAUCCUGCAUUGCUGUGGCUGUGGUGUAGGCUGGCAGCUGUAGCUCCAGUUCAACCCCUAGCCUAAGAACUUCCAUAUGCUGCAGGUAUGGCCCUAAUAAAGCAAAAACAAACAAAAAAAAAAGAGUGCAACGUUCUACGCCUUACCC
ensembl:lncRNA